rnacentral:lncRNA from 1 species
UGGGAGAAGAAGUUGUAGCCUUGCUAAACCUGUCUCACAGAAGAUAGCAAAGCCUUCAUACUCACUUGACUCUGGGAAGGAUUGUGUCACAGAGUAAAAGAAGAAAUUGCUUAUAGACUACAAAGGCUAACAUGGAGAUAGAAGAACCACAUGGAGCUUGGAAAAUGGGAAUCUCAGUAAUAACAUAAUGGCUGUGAGUCUGCAGGGGUGUCCUCCAGUGCUUUUGUUCUUGUUAAAUCCCCAAGGACCUUUGAAGGAUAGUGGGGAGGGGAAUCCUCCAAAUACCUAAGAUUAAAUUUCCUACUGGCUUGGUAGGAUGGAACUUGUAAAUGAAAUUAAAUUUAUUUAUAUUAUUAUUGUUGUUAUAAUUAUUAUUAUAAUUUAUUUUUGACAUUAGGCACCAAACAAGACCAAUCAUAAUUUUUGGCUCAUAACAUACUUGCCAUCAUUGCUUACUCCUGGCCUUCAUUUAUUUUAUUUCUUUAAUUUUAUAUAUUCAUUGACAAUAUGAUGAAGUUAUAUGAAUUCACUGCCUGAAUCAAGAACUAGAAAGUUAUUAAUAACAAAUAUACACAUAUAUGUUCCUCCCUACUCCAUUUUUAAAAACCUGCCUUUGGAGUAGCUAUUAUUUGAAUUUUAUUUUUAUCCUUAUUAUGCCUUAAAGAAACAUUAUUGUGUUUGUGUGUAUGUGUGUGUAGUCCUAAAAAUAUUUUGCUUAGUUCAAAAUGUAUGGAUCUUCUUGGAUUUGCUCUUCCACUCUUCAUUUUCAUAAUAGGAUUCAUUCAUGUGUUACAUGUUGCUUGGUUCAUUAAUUUCCAUUGAUAUUUAAUGUGUCUGUGAUUAUGCCACAGUUUAUUGAAACUCUUGUUAAUGGGUAUUUGGACAGCUUCCAGACUUGUGCUAUCAUGCACACUGCUGCUUUCUGGUACACAUUUGCUAAACUUCUCUUGGGUAAAUACCUAGAAGUGGAAUUGCUGGCUCACUGGGUGUGCAAAUAUUCAACUGUAUAAGAUAAUACCAAAUUGUUUUCCCAAGUGAUUAUUCUAAUUUACAUCCUGUCAACAAUGUGUGAGAGUUCAUCAAUCUACAGUCUCUGGAAUACUUGGUAUUGUCAGCUUUUCAGUUCUUGCCUAUUGAAUGCAUGUAAAAUAAUAUUUCCUACUCUUGUUUCACAUUUCCCUGAGUACGAGUUAGAUUGAGCAACACUUCAUAUGCUUUUUAUUAAUACAUAUUUUAUCUUCUGUGAAAUGCCUAUUCAGGUCUUCUGCCCAGUGUUCAUUUAUUAUUGGCUUGUAGGACUUCUUUACGUAUAAACAGUAUCACAAUUUUAAUCUUUUCUAUUAAGUGUUUUUGCGGUAGUUUAAGAAAUUAUUCUUCACCUUAAAUUCAGAAAGAUAUUCAUCUAUAUUUUAUCUUAUAAUAUUAAACUUUUAAAUUCAACAGCACAUCACCAUCUCUACACAUCAUGUAGGAGUUUCUAACUAGUUCCAUAAAUGAAGAAAUGAAUUAAAAGUUAUAAGGCUAGGAAAGGAAAAAAAACCUGUAAUUUUCAGACGACAUGAUUGUCUGCUUGAAAUCCUCCCCAAUUGAGCAAACAAAUAAAUAUAAUAGGAAGUUGAGCAAAGUGGAUGAACAUAAGAUUAAUACAGAAAAGUUGAUUACACUUGUAUAAAUCAGAAACAAACAGAAUAAUAACUAUGAACACACAAUUUACAACUAAAAGUAUAAAGUACAAUACUUAGGAAUAAAGCUAAUAAAAGAUGUAUAAACUUGGAUGUAGAAAACUAUAAAACAUUUCUGAAGAAUAUUUUUAAAAUACUAAUAAAUGGAGAUGUAUCCCUUGAUCAACAGGAAGAUAUCAUUAAGACCUUAAUCUUUCUUAUACAGAUCUACAGAUUUAAUGUAACUCUAGUCAAAAUCCAAAAAGGAUUCUUUAACUAAAAAAGGUCCAAAAUAGCCAAAAUACUUCUUUAUUAAAUGAAAACAUGUAGAUGGAGUUGCUCUUAUAAAUACAAAGACAUAUAGAGCUAUACUAACUGGCAUGUGUUAUUCACACAGAAAAGAGAAAUUCAUGCAUGAAAUAGGAUACAGAACUCAAUAAAGGACUCAUAUAUAUAACUUUGAUGGGGUGGCAUGAAAGAACACUUAGGAAAGGAGUAAUUAUUCAAUAGUUACAGCUGAAAAAGUUGGUUGUCUACAUAGAAAAAGCAUGAAAAUUGAUCUUUACCUCAUACACAAAACAACCUUCCACAAAUU